GGGGAAUCUUGUUCAAUGGGCGAAAGCCUGAAACAGCAAUGCCGCGUGGAUGAUGAAGGCCUUCGGGUUGUAAAGUCCUUUCGACAGGGAAGAACAAAAUGACGGUACCUGGAGAAGAAGCCACGGCUAAUUACGUGCCAGCAGCCGCGGUAAGACGUAAGUGGCAAGCGUUAUCCGGAAUUACUGGGCGUAAAGCGCGCGUAGGCGGUUACACAAGUCAGGGGUGAAAAGUCAGGGCUUAACCUUGGCCUUGCCUUUGAAACUGUGUGACUAGAGUACUGGAGAGGAGGGCGGAACUACCAGUGUAGCGGUGGAAUGCGUAGAUAUUGGUAGGAAUGCCGAUGACGAAGGUAGCUCUCUGGACAGAUACUGACGCUGAGGUGCGAAAGCUAGGGGAGCAAAC
rnacentral:rRNA from 1 species